rnacentral:lncRNA from 1 species
GCCAGUGCUGCCAAGAUCAGUUUCUACGUCAAAGGGAAGAAGGAGAUAUUUUUCUUCAAGAACAAGACUACACAAAUUCAAGAUCAAUCCAGACGUAAAUCAAGGAAGAGGACCAACAGGAGAAACAGGAACAAGCAAGUGUGGACCGAGUCAGCUAAGAUGGUCACUGUAGUUCAUGGACGCCAAGAUCACCAACUUAAGUCACCGUUUUUGACUAAGAAGGACGACCCAGGAAUGCCAAGCAUCUACUGCUCCAUAAAUGGAUACAACUUCUACAAGACGAUUUGCGACACCGGAUCAGGCGUCAACAUAAUGGCCGCAGUCACCUAUCGGCUCUUGUUUGGAACCAUGCCACUAAGACCAACAUACAUUCAGCUCCAGAUGGCAGAUCAGACAUUUCGAGAAGUUCAAGGAAUAGUAUCUGAUGUCCCAGUCAAAAUAGACGAUCACUUUGUCUACACAGACUUUCAAGUUGUUGACAUGGGAGAAGACGAGUACGAUCCACCCAUCAUCCUUGGAAGACCGUUCCUCAGCACCGUUAAAGCAAUUAUCUACAUUGGAACCGGAGAAGUCCAUAUGCACUUCCCCUCAGAGAAGGUACGCCGUUAUUUUGCUGACCCUAACUAUAUUGUUGAAGAAUCUAUGCAGGUCAGAAAGAGACGCAACCGCAACCUGAGGAGGCAGAUGAUCAAGGAUGGAUGGGCAGACUAUGAAGGAGAAGUUGUAAGGUCAGAAGACAUAGAGUUUAAACAGAAUUAUCCAGAGGAGAUUGAAGCACCGAGUCAGGUGUGGAAAAUGAAGAUAACUAUACAUGAAGAGGAGGCGCUGCCGGAAGUACCGACUACGCCACCCAACGAACCUCAGGACGAUUAAGAAAAUGGAGAGUCCCGUUCGGAGGACUUAAAAACACCGAACGCCUUGCCAAGAAGUAAACUUGGAAGUUAUCCUUUCCCUUUUAAUCAUUUCAAUUAUUUCAAAUAGUUUACUUAGUUAAUUAUGUUCGUGCUAUCCUAAAAAGAAAAUAAAAAUGUGAAAAACAGUAAGCCCCAUGUGAGUAGACGAGUGGCAUAAAACCCAUAAGUACAUUCACUGUGGUGGCAUAAAAAUAAAAUAAUUAUUUUUCUGCUUUAUAAAAUAAAAAUAUAAAAACAGGGAGUAACAAUUAUUAAGGAGUCUCAACAUGAUAAAGGCUAGAUAUUUAUGCUAACACUUAAUCAGUUCCACAAGCUUUGUUGUCUAUUUGAGCUCCACAGAAUUUAAGAAUCAAGAAGACUAGCAGACGGAGGACAUUCUAAUCGCUGUCAGAAUGCUGCUGACUUUCAAAUACACCUCUGCCACCUGCUAGCUACAUCAAGAGAAAUUACGUCAAAAUUCAGCUUGGAGGAGAGCACCCCCAUUUAUCUCAAUAAGUAUUUCUAUCUAUCUUUAUACUUAUAUUAUUAAACUAUGGAAAACCAAAUAAAGAGUUUGCGCUUAUUUAUAUAUGUCUUUUGCUUAGUGUGUUUAAUAAAUAAAUAAAGUGGCUAUGCUAAUCUGUAUCUUAAUAAAACUUAAGCAUGGAUAUGAUAAAUAGUUGCUCUGCCUAAUUUCACAUUUUAAGUUCUCUCUCAAGUUUAGAUAUAACUGUUAUAAUUUAAAGCUUGCUCUAGACCUAAACUUGUGGGAUGAAAACUUGAUCUGAAGUCUAAGUUGUUAACGGAUACGAUAUGGAAAGGUUGAGCUGCUGUUUAUCUGUUCCUAGAAAUGCUAGAAUUCUGGAGAAUUUUAUCUUUGAAAAUCUUUACAAUGUUGCAUGAUGAGUUCCUAUAUGAUGAGAGUUUAAAUUCCUACCACAGCCAUAUAUACAUGCUUGCUAGACUUUGAGCCACACAUUUACUAUUUACUGCUUAGGAGCAUUGAGUGUGGUCAAGCUGUGUUGACCCUUAGGAGCUUGUCAUGUGGUUAAAUCAAAAUUUCACUUGCACGUUCACUCAUAUAUGCUACUUCUACUCCGGAAGUACCAUCCACAUAUAUCCACCCAUUCCAUCUCCAGAAUCACCCAAAAAUAUUCUACUCCUAACCCGGGAGAGAAUAACCAAAAAUAUUUCUAUUUUCCCCUUCUGAAAUAAAUGCUCAAGUUAUCUUGUUACUACCACUUGCUAUAUUAUCUCAAGAGAUGAAUGCUCUAAAAAAAGAGAGAAAAAAAAGAGAUACGAGGAAAUAAAACGGAGCAAGUGCUCGGAACCUCGAAAGAAAAAAAAGUGAGACGAGAGGUAAAAAUGGACAAGUGUCCGACAGUAGAAUUAGGGGUGCAAGAUACCCACCUGAGAGAAAAGAAAAAUAUAGAGCAUCUCAUUCUUCUCAUAAAGUUUCAAAAAGCAAGGAAGGUAUGUAUCCCCUCAAAGAGCAAAGUAGAAUUAGACUUCCACCACCAUUGUUUUCACCAUUGUUAUCACCAUCAUCACCAUACACCAUUCAUUCGCCACACAUGCACAUCUUGAUUUGGCUUAUUGACUUGUUACUUUGGAUCCAUGGUUUGACUAUGCAAUAAAUGUCUUAUAAGUAUGUAUACUUUAUCUCCCACCUAUGAGCUCCAGAUAUUAAAGCCUUAUUAGAGUAGGGUGAGAGAGAAGGUAAUGUCACUAUGCCUUAUACCACAAAUACUACAUAUCCUGAGAGAAGGCAUAUACCAUCAAUGCCUUGGUAAGGAUCCAAAAAUACCACAAAAGAGAGACCUGAGAGAAUCAUACAAGGAAUUUCUGAGUUUUAUUUGAAAAUCUGCAAAAAACCCCAGAGCUAUAGCUGAUCAAGAAUAAGAGACAUGGCACUUGGCUAGACUGUUCUAUCUUUUAACUACUCAAGACAGAAGUGACGGUUACAAGUCCCAUGGUGAAGGUAAAGUAAGUAAGUUUUAAGUCUUGACAGUUUACUCUAACUUAGAGAUGAGAUCUUAUUUAAAAGCAUGUGUACCAUCAAUUUUCUAAAUAUUGCAACUACUUAUGAUCCAUAGCUGAGUCUAUCCUUGCUCAGGGACGAGCAAGAGGUAAGCUUGGGGGAGUUUGUUGACGGUCCUUAAGUAUCAAAUUUAAUUAUCAAAUAAAUAAAGAAAAGGAUCCAAAUGAAAUCAAGAUCUAGACUUAGGGUUUUAUCUGACAGAAUUCCACGAGUUUUGGUGUUUGUCUAUUUUUGCAGGGGGUUAUCAGGAAAUAUGGAAGAAAGGCCCACAUGUCGGGAUUACGUAAAGAUAUUAACGUGCUGCGCAAUUAUCUUACAUCUAGAAGACUCCAGAGACAGGGCGCCCGCCCUAUCCUACUGGGCGCCCGCCCCCUCCAGGAGUCCAAUCAGGACUCUGCUUUGCGGGAGAUCUCCACCGACCUAAAGGAUGAAUCUAAACCAUACAAUCUAUGUCGGUUUGAUCCAAGGGCCCAUAUUCACUUGAAGGGACUAUAAAACCAGACCCCCUGGCCCCUGGAGGAGAGAGCCUCUCAACCCUAAUUCAUUGUUCCAUCAAGGGAGAAGAAGCCUCUGAUCAAGAUUAGAGCCACCACAUCAAUUAGACAUCUAGAUUAGCAUAGCUACAUAGGAUUAGAACUAGAAGGAGUCAAUCUUCGAUUGGUUUCCAGAUCUGUCAGGAGGAUUCUUGGUAAUUCUCUAAUUGUGCUUCUAAUUGCUUUCUAAUUAUCUUUGUUCUUAAAUAUUAUGAAUAUGACUUUGUUCUACUGUUGACGGUCCUUAAUGCUCACAUUUAACCAUCAACUAAUCAUAGAAAAGGAUCCAAAUGCAACCAACACCUAGACUUAGGGUUUUAUCUGACAGAAUUCCACAAGUUUUGGUGUUUGUCUAUUUCUGCAGGGGGUUAUCAGGAAAUACGAAAGAAAGGCCCACACGUCGGGUUUACAUAGAGAUAUUAACGUACCGCAUAAUUUUCUACCAUCUAGAAGACUCCAGAAGCCACGGGAACGAACGGGAGGCCGAUCGGGCUCGGAGGCAGGGCGCCCGCCCAACUCUCCUGGGCGCCCGCCCAGCUACAGUGUCCAAUUCGGACCCGUUUCGCGUAUUAUGCUCCACCGACCUAAAGGAUCAAGGAAAACCGUGCGAUCAAUGUCGGUUUGAUCCGAUGGCCCAGAUUCAAUUGAAGGGACUAUAAAACCAGACCCCCCUGGCCCCUGGAGAUCAUACCUCUUCUACAGAAUCAAAGCUAGGGUUUCAAUUCUUCAUCCAAGUAGAGAGGAUCCCUCUAGUUCUUCUAGUUCUACCUCUAGUUCAUCUAGAUCUAGUUCUAGUUCUAGUUCCUCUAGUUCUAGUUCUAGUUAGUUCUAGUUGUAAUCUAGAAAAUAGGGAGAGAGAAGAGGAGAGCGGAGGAGGAGGAGCCGGAUCUGUCAGAUCUUCCUCAACAUUGUACUUUUGCAGCAACUGGUUCGUUCUUCAUCGUUCUCCAGGUUCUUCAAUUCAUAACUCCUGAGUUCUCUAAUUACUUUUAUUUACAUUCAAGUUAUUUAUUGGAUUCCUGCUUGCAUCAAGUGCUCUAGUCUUUAUAACGCUAGAGUAGUAAUUAAUAGAUUAGACGUGGUGUUUAGUCUUGCGAUUACCUGGAAUUGCACCCAAUCCUACGGAUUGUUGUGGUAGCCCUAGGGUAGUGACAGCCCUAACGGUCGACGUAUUCCACCACGUUCGGAUCGGUGUUUGUAGGACCGUAGUCAGACCUUCCUAGCCCCCUUCUCAUCUCUUUCUGUGGUUAGUGUUCUGAUGUCCCGAAAUAGAUAAUCUUGAAGUAAUUAUUGAUUCUUAGAUCAACUAGAGAACUCUCAGGAAACUUCCUCUCUUCCCACCAAAAAUAAUUAUAUAGUUAUCCUUGGGCGAUUUUGGAUCUUAAUUAGUACACUCACGUUCUCUGUGGAAAAUCGAUACUCUGGAAUACUCCCGGGUGAAAGCUACAUCGGUAUCCGUGCGCUUGCGGAUUUUUCUGUUUGCGUUUAAAAUACCCAACAAGCUUUCUGGCGCCGUUGCCGGGGAACGGUAGCUGUGCUAGUUUCGAACCAAGUCGUCCGUGUAUCCUUUUUCUUUUCCUUUUUUAACCACACUCACCUUACCAUUCUCACCACACCACAUGGAUUUCACUCUAAGCAUUAAUGAGCAUGGAAUUUAUUUCAUAGGCACUUCAUUUGCUCCAUGCUCAUAUGCAACAUCUUACCAAUCCAUUGGUCUCUCCAACAUCACCACAUUCGAGAUCUCCAACCCCCACUUCCUUUCUAUUUAUAAAAACUUUAAAAGGGCGGUUGUCGAUGCAUAUGUCUAUAAGAAAUAUUGUAGAUCUCAUUGAGUUGAUCUUGAUAUAGGUCAGCGUUGGAGGGGAAACCACUUCACUGACAUAAAUUGAUGGUUUCCCAUGGACAAGCUUAGUGUCCUAAAACAAGCACUGAUUAGAUCAUAACAUGAGCUUUUGAUUAUUUGCAACAUUACCUUGUGUAUUGAGCAUAUAAGGAUAAUUGUAAAAAAAAUUCCUUCGGGUAUUCUUGUCACUAACCUUUCUAGGAUUGGAGCAAGAAGAUCGGAUCAAUGACAAGCACAAGGUAUGAACAACCAAUCAUCAUACAACAUUGAAUUAAAUCCAUCCAAACUUGAAUUUUGCAAAAUUCAAGCUUGGGGGAGUACUUUACAUAAAAUCGUCCUUUGCCAUGUUGCUAUGUUGGUUGUCCCUACCUUUGAGACAUGCUCAAUGUGUUAAAUACUAAUCACACUACUUCAUCUCCACUUGAGUAGAUCUCUAUAAAUGCUUUCAUGCUACCUUUAUUUUAGUAUAUGUCUAGGUUUGGAGUAGUUUCAUUUAUCUCUUAAUUAAGCAUGGUGCUUUGUUUAGGGCUGAUGAUCUUACUUCCAAGGGAGUUUAAAUUAAGCAUGAUGCUUAAGUUAAAAUGCCCUCCUAAAUCAAAUUAGACAUGGUGUCUAGGUUGAUCUUUGAGCCGAUAGUAUGCUAUAGUAGAUAUUGGAUAUUUUGUUGGACUAACUCCUGCAGGAAAACUUUCAAUAUCGACUUGGGAAGUCCUGAGAUAAACUCAUUGGAGACAAAGAGAGAGACACAUGAAGUUUAACAAUUUACACAAGGAAGGCAUAGCUCACAAGUGAUGAUCCAUGGAGUGUGCCACAAACACGAUGCACAACCGAUAAGAAAGGAAAGCUUUCACAAGGUGAUACUGUACCAUCACUCUUCAAGUAAGGUAACAUCUUAAGGUACUUGACUAUUACUUCUAUAAGCUUCUCCUUAUUUUUGGCGUUCACAUGAAUAAAAGAGACAAACAUGUAUGAUUUACAACUCUAGAUUAACCAACCCAAUCGAUUCAAUAUGUUUAAUCCUUCCACCUUUGUGAUCCUACACUCCUAAUCAUAUAAGCUAAAAUGUUGCACACACAAUCUUUGGAAGAUAUAUAUAAAAAAAGAGAUAAGUAUAGAUAGAUUAUCUUUCCAUUAGGUUGAGUGAUCUGAUCUGACGAAUGUUUUAAAUGCUACACUCAUGAUCUUAUUAUCCAUCAACUUUGUCUUGCUCACUAUGCUUAAGGUUAGAGAAGAACAAAUACACUUUUGGUUCUCUUGGUGUUUUCCACCAACAGGGCCCAUGCACUUGAUCUCUGCCUUGUCUCUAUGAGCAGUUACACUUCGAGCAAAAUAUGAAGGAGUUUCACAACUCCUAGACUCCACCAAGUGAAGAACUUAGAUCUACGAGCAUAAACACACUGGAGAUACUGGACACUCAGGCAAUCACUGCCCUGAGAUGCUUGAGGACAUAACUACUGGAGUAACCCCGCUGUGGAAGUAAUUACUGACCUUCUGCCGGUCAAGAGAGACAAUCCAGGACGUCCCGUCAUCCCGAUCUCUGCGACUUCCUAGAAGCACUCUGCGACUUUAGCUCCAGCGUUAACAUUAUGCUCAGGGUACUCUAUGAUAAAUUCUUUACACAUCCUUUCCUAGAAACAACCAUGUGUUUGCAGCUUGCAGAUCAGACACUAAGUUUCCUAAAGGGAAUAUUGAAGAACUUCUGCAUCCGAGUUGGUACCUUGUAUGCCCCAGCAGACUUCGUGGUGAUAGAGACUGGUAUUGAUGAGAGGGCAUCCAUCAUCCUAGGGAGGCCAUUCUUGAACACCUUGGGAGUUGUCAUCUAUGCUAGUGCUGCCAAGAUCAGUUUCUACAUCAAAGGGAGGAAGGAGACGUUUUCCUUCAAGAACAAGAUUACACAAAUCUCAAAGCAAUCCCGACAUGAACCAAGGAAGAGGACCAAUAGGAGGAACAGAAACAAGCAAAUGUGGACUGAGUUAGCUAAGAUGGUCACUGCAGUUCAAGGAGGUCAAGAUCGUCAACUCAAGUCGCCUUUCUUGUUCAAGAAGGAUGACCCUGGUGUUCCAAGCAUCGAGUGCACAAUCAACGGAUAUUCUUUUCAGAAGACACUCUACGACAUCGGAUCUGAUGUCAAUGGCCGCAGUCACCUAUCAGCUCCUGUUUAGAACCAUGCCCCUACAACCAAAAUACAUUCAGCUCCAGAUGAUUUGAAGGUUAUUGUCAUUGGAGAAGACGAGUACAAUCCACCCGUCAUCCUUGGAAGACCGUUCCUCAACACCGUUAAAGCAAUCAUCUACAUUGGAACCGGAGAAGUCCACAUGCACUUCCCCUCUGAGAAGGUACGCCGCUAUUUUACUGACCCUAACCAUAUAGUUGAAGACUCUAAGCAGGUCAGGACAAGAAGAAGACGACGCAACCGUAAUCAGAGAAGGCAAAUCAUCAAGGAUGGAUGGGUAGACUAUGAAGGAGAAGUUGUAAGGUCUGAAGACAUACAACUUGAAUAGAACUGUCCUGAGGAGACCGUAACACCGAGUCAGGUGUGGAGAGAGAAGAUAGUUAUACAUGAAGAGGAGGCACCGCCGGAACCACCGACUACGCCAUCCAGUGAAUCCCAGGAUGACUGUGAAAACAGAGAGUCCCGUUCGGAGGACUUAAAAACACUGAAUGCCUUGCCAAGAGGUAAACUUGGUAGUUAUCUUUUGCUUUUCAAUUAUUUAAAAUAGUUUGCUUAGUUAAUUAGGUUCAUGCUAUCUUGAAAAGAAAAUAAAAAUAUUAAAAAUAGUAAGCCCCAUGUGAGUAUGCUCAUGGCAUAAAACCCAUAAGUACAUUCACUGUGGUGGCAUAAAAAUAAAAUAAAUAUAUUCCUGUCCUAUAAAAAUAAAAUUAUAAAAAUAAAUUUAUGAUCCUACUAAAGAGAGUAACAUUUAUUGAGGAGGCUCAACAUGAUAAAGGCUAGAUAUUUAUGCUAACACUUAACUAGUUCCACAAAGCUUAGUUGUCUAUUUGAGCUCCACAGAAUUCAAGGAUCAAAGAAGACUAGCAGACGGAGAACAUCCUAAUCGCUGUCAGGGUGUUGCCGACAUUCAAAUACACCUCUGCCACCUGCUACAUCAAAAGGAAUUACGUCAAAAUCCAGCUUGGGGGUGAGCACCCCCAUUUAUCCAGCUAAGUGUUCUACUCAUGUUUAUACUUUACUCUAAUAAUAAAAAGAUGCAUAAUCAUAAAAAACCAAAUAAAUAUUUUGUGCUUAUAUAUAUCUUUGCUUAGCUUGCUAAAUAAAUAAAUAAAUAAAGAUUGCUAUGAACCCUCAUGAUAAGCUCUCACAUGGAAAUGAUGAAUAGUUGCUCUACCAUGACUAGUUCUCAAAAUUGAAAUCUCUCUCAAGUUUAGGCAUGACUGUUAUGAAUUAAGAUUUGCUCUAAACCUGAACUUGUGGGGAGAGUACUUGAUCUAAAGUCUAAGUCGUUAACGGAUAUGAUAUGGGAAGGUUGAGCUGUUGUUUAUCUGUUCCUAGAGAUGCUAGAAUUCUGGAGAAUUUUAUCUUUGAAAAUCUUUAAAAUGUCACAUGAUGAGUUCCUGUAUGAUGAGAGUUUAAAUUCCUACCACAGCCAUAUAUACAUGCUUGCUAGACUUUGAGCCACACAUUUACUUUUUACUGCUUAUGAGCAUUGAGUGUGGUCAAGCUGUGUAGACCCUUAGGAGCCUGUAAUGUGGUUAAAUCAAGAUUCACUUGCACGUUCACUCAUACAUGCUGCUUCUACUCUAGAAGUACGCAUCCACAUAUAUCCAUUUCUAUCUCCAGAACCACCCAAAAAUAUUCUACUCCUAAUCCGGGAGAGAAUAGCCAAAAAUAUUCCUGUUUUUCCCCUGUGAAAUAAAUGCUCAAGUUAUCUUGUUACUACCACUUGCUAUAUUAUCUCAUGAGAUGAGUGCUCUAAAAAAAAGAGAAAAAAUAUAUACGAGGAAAUAAAAAGGGGCAAGUGCCCGGAACCUCGAAAGAAAAGAAAAAGUAAGACGAGAGGUAAAAAUGGACAUGUGUCCGACAGUAGAAUUAGGGGUACAAGAUACCCACCUGAGAGAAAUGAAAAAGAAAAUAUAGAGCAUCUCAUUCUCCUCAAAAAGUUUCAAAAGAGCAAGAAAGGUAUGUAUCCCCUCAAAAGAGCAUAAGUAGAAUUAGACUUUCACCAUUGUUAUCACCAUCAUCACCAUACACCAUUCAUUCGCCACACAUGCACAUCUUGAUUUGACUUAUUGACUUGUUCUUCUGGAUCCAUGGUUUGACUAUGCAAUAUAUGUCUUGUAAGUAUGUAUUAGCUGUCUCCCACCUAUGAGCUCCAGAUAUCAAAACUUUAUUAGAGUAGGGUGAGAGAGAAGGCAAUGCCACUUUGCCUUAUACCACAAAUACCACAUACUUUGAGAGAAGGCAUAUACCAUUACUGCCUUGGCAAGGAUCCAGAAAUACCACAAAAGAGAGACUAGAGAGAGUCAUAAAAGGAAUAUCUGAGUUUUAUUUAAAAAUCUGCAAAAACUCCAGAGCUAUAGUUAAUCGAAGAACAAGAGACAUGGUGCUUGACUAGACUGUUCUAUCUUUUAACUACUCAAGACAGAAGUGAUGGUUACAAGUCCCAUGGUGAAAGGUAAAUGAGUAAGUUUUAAGUCUUAACAGUUUACUCUAACCCGAGAUGAGAUCUUGUUUAAACGCAUGUGUAUCUUUAAGUUAUGAAACCACUGC